rnacentral:misc_RNA from 1 species
UUGGCCCGGCACUUCUGGACU